UUACUUUAAGAUGGAAUUGUUUCGCGGUUGGAAUAGAGUGUUGUAAGCGAAUCAGAGAUCAUGAUAUCCAGAUCUCCCGUGACGGUGACGAGGGACGAACAACAUUCUCAGCGAGGAGGAGAAAAUCUACAUCCAGAAAAUGGAAAGAGAAAGGAUGGAUAAACUGAAGGAGAAAGGGAAAGUGGAUGGCGAGAAGGAGAACAGUGUGGAAGAAGUAGAAAGGGAAAGUGGAUGGCGAGAAGAACAGUGCCUUUCCGUGCUUAUGGUUAAUCUAAAUAGAAUUUUGCUUAUUCAUUCUAUUCUAUAAACCAAGUUUGGAUACGUUUUUAUUUAUUGUGUAAAA